AGCUGAUCUUCUGUUGGUUUCAAAGAAACCCGGAAAUGGUGCCAUGAGAGUGAGCGCCUCUGUCAAGACACCCGCUAAUGUUUUAAACUUAAGAGCAUUUAGAUGGUCCUCUCUGGUGAGGUGGUGGAGAGUUGGUGAGGUCCUGGGUUUCUGUGAUACCAACCCGAUUCCCAGAUGAAUGUCCAAGGACCACAGCACAGGGACGUAAGCUUCAUUUUUUAUUGCAAUGAAUGGCCACAAUAAUCUUUAUCAAAAUAACAAUUCACACAAUCCCAACUAAAACUAUAAAUAAAACAUCUAUCAAAAAUAGCAAUUCUUACUAAAACAAUUGGAUUAGGUUACCACAAUCUAAAAACAAGUUCAAAUAGGCAGGGAGGGUCCCGAUACUUCAACUGCAAGAGAGGCCAUCGCACAGAAAGAUAUAACCUUGUAUUCCGGCUUGUAGUAUCACUCCAGACCAAAAACGUCCCUUGUCCUCUUCACUAUAGGAUUAGCCCCACACAUACACGCCCCGUCAAAACCCAGGGGGCAGCUUCUCCCCAUCCUGAAUGCUUUCCCGCUGUCCAACUAAGGGUCAGCCCAAAACCCCAGGUACCUGCUGUAACAAGCAAAAACAAAACCACCAUCAGUGCAAUUCCGUUGCAACAUAUUGUAUCCCCAAUUUUAAAGUUUCUAACAAUACUCCAGCAGGUUGUCUUAUAUACAGACCACAACAAUAAUUAUGUACAAUCACUAUAAUGCUAUUUGACAUACUUCAUAACUCCUAUAUAGUAGUAAAGUCAAUAUAUGUGUUUUGUACGGUCAAAUAAAAUGGUUUCCAAUCACAUACUGUACAAGAUUAUUUUAGCCCUGUGCACUUAUCUGCAAGCUAGACAGGGUUCACCACUCAAACAAAAUUACUACUUCUUGGUUGUAACUUCCCUUUAUCUUUUUGUCCAACUUUUCCAGGUUCUUCCUGCAGUCUGUUCCUCCAGCAAUUUCUCUCAUCCCACUUCCUGGUCUGGGUCCUCCAACAACACAAUCUGCCCUGCUCUCUACCUACAUGGUGCUGACAGCACACCUUUUAUAGGGUAGUUAGUAAUCAAAUGAGGUCAACAUCAGGAGCAGGAGGUCAACAUCAGGAGCAGGUUUGAGGGUGGAGAUUUUACAGUACAUUUUUUCAAAUUAAAAAAACAAGUAGCACCCAGAAGCACAACUGGCUUAAAGAAGGGAAUCAGAUGGAAAAGACUGGCAACAAUGAGAAGGCAAUGACUGGAAGUGCAGGAAUAUCAAUGCCAGAACAGCAAAGUCCAAGAGGGAUUAGUAUAAAAGCAGGAUAUAGCCCCAUCGACGCUCUGGCCGGAGCAGUGGCAUACCCUGGUGAUACACCACAUACUGAGUGAGAGACAGAACGAAGGAAAAGAAAGAAAAGCUGCCUAUUGCGGAGGCGGCCUGCAGCCGCGGAGAAAGAGAGCCGGCAGCAGAGACGGCUAAAGUUCACAGUAAUACUAUUAGGUCCUACGUGCCCCAUUCUGUGACGUACAGUUGGCUGUGUCUGCAAAAAGUGUCAAGGCUGGCAUGGUUAUGUUGUGCAUGUCACUGACACAAUUAAUAACCAUUUCACAGCCAGACUGAGUGACACAGGCCCAACCCAACUUCCUAGAGCCACGCCCUCAUGCCUGUGCUGCAGACAGAAUGCAGUUAACAUGCACAUUUUUAUUAUUCUUGAUAUUAUCCAAAUCCAUUCAUUAUUUAAACAUAAUGGGGAAAAAACUGUUCCAACGUGGUUGGAAGAAGUGGUUUUAUCUCUGAAAUCACUGCUGUUGAUUAAUAAUACCAGUUUAAUGAUCUGUCCGUGGAGUAGGACGCGCACGUAAACUGCUCUGCAAUAAUAUUCAAGUUAUUCUAUUAACAACUAACUUUUAUUAAACUACCACGUCUUUCAGACUAACUGACCAAGAACAAAGGGAAGCGUAACCCGACAGAAUCAACCGCAGACUUGGAUAGGGCCUUGUCGGUUACUGACAACAUGGCGACCGCGGAAGAUGAUUCGGCUCCAGCCUCGAUCAGAGAGCUCCUUACCAGAAUUUGAAUCAAGGUGUUAGUGCUCUGGUCCGAGUUCCUUGUGGCGCUCCGAUCGUGUCUACAUUGCAAGCCACAGUUUCGACUCAAGGACAAAAGCUUACAGAUUUAGAGCAUUUGUUAACAGAUGUCAGGGAUCGACUCGGUUGAGUCGUUAUGUUCUUGGUUGAGUCAUUAUAUUCUUCCCUGUCUACUGAUAAUGCCAAAAUGAAGCUGAAACUGGUUGAUCUUGAAAACCGCUCACGCAGACAGAACAUCAGGGUGAUUGGAGUACCGGAGGGAUCUGAAGGAUCCAGGCCAAAUACAUUCAUGGCUUCUUUUUUUACAGAGAUGCUUGGGGAAGGGAGCUUUGAUAAUCCGCCAAGUGAUUCCUUGGCCCACCAGACCCAUGAUCAUACGGCUGCAUCAUUAUCAAACCAAGGAUCAUCUUUCCCGCUAGCGAGGGAAGCUUUAUUUCAAGGGGUCCCGGGUUUUUGUGUUCCCCAAUCUUAGUGCUGAGAUGGCACGACAUCGGGCUGCCUUUAACACUCACAACACCACCUCCUCGCUGUUCUUCAGCCCUUACGGUUGAACUUGUUGAAGGAAGUUCUGUAUCAUCAUUCUGUGGGGUUUGUUGUUUUGAUGCGGAUGGUCAAAUAAAAAAUGUAUCCAUAUCUGGUAUUUAUUUUGUGUGUUUCCAAUGAUUUUUCCUCUGCU